CUGGAAAAGGAUGAAUUAUUGGUUGGGAAUUACUUUGGAGAUGAUGCCAAGUGUAUUUUGAGUUACAUGAGUCGAAUAACAAUGCCAGGUGGCCAUUUGUUAUUACGAUAUGGCUGAUCAAUGGAGGAAAUUCGGUUCAUCUUCACAUCCUGGAUCCACUGGAAUAGAAAAGUCACGACCGGGACGCAUCACAAAUCUCCAAAAGACAAUUGUUCUGAUUUCACAAAUAUUCACAUUUUCUAUACAGCUAACACAGUUACAUAAUAUAUUUCUUUGAGAUGUCCACAAAGUCCAGCACACGUCUACUUAUUUCAAAUUCAGCGUCAUCGGAAAAUGGUCAGGAUCCAUAUCCGGAAUUACAUCACUCGACCUGGAAGGAUUCCUCAAACUAAGGUUGGGCAAUAUCUGAUGCCUUUGAUGGAGAAGGAGGAUUGGAAACGGGUGUGGCCACCCUAUCAUUCUCCAAGUUGUUGGGUGAAGAUGAACGGGACUUAAAAGUUACUUCAAGACUUUCUUCUAAUUCCAUCUUGUACAAAAA